GGUUGCUUCAGUGAACAUUCAACGCUGUCGGUGAGUUUGGAAUUAAAAUCAAAACCAUCGACCGUUGAUUGUACCCUAAGGCCAACC
rnacentral:pre_miRNA from 1 species